AAUCCGUGGUGUGAACAUUUUUAAAUCAACAUUUUGAACCGUUCCCAUGUCUCAUAGAAACUUUCUCCCUCCAUUUUUCUAAAAACAACAAUCUCUCUUCUUAGUUG
rnacentral:snoRNA from 1 species